rnacentral:lncRNA from 1 species
GUGCAACAUGGUUAUGGGUACUACAGUGGAUGUGAGUGUGUAGACCUUGUACAAUAGAGCUUAUAGGCUAAUGAGAAGACAGGAAGAAACAACAGGAACACAUAUAGCUGGAAUGCAGAUGGGAUCUGUGCUACUUACGCUAGCCAUGGGAUGAUUAGAACAAGAUAAGAGACAUGAGGAAGACUUCUUCAAGGAGGUGCUCAAGCCAUGUUUUGGAAAAGAGAACUCAAGGUCUGGCAGGGAGAAAGGAGCAAGGUCCCCAAGCAUGCUAACCAUGAAGCAGUGAUAUCGCACAGCACCUGCUUCCAGCAGCCCGGAGCCAAGGGGCAAAAUGGAAAGAGUCAGCAUUUCUCUUUUAGGUUCUCUGCCUCUCUAGUGUGAAGACUGAAGAAACCUAAUCCUAGGUGCUGCCACUGGGACAAACAAGAAGCACCAGACACAGUGCUGUUUUAGGGUGGGGCAGAAUUAUGCUGAGGGAAAAGUUAUUAUCACUCUUUAAGGCCAAGGAAACCACAAUUUUUAAAGAAGCUUCUAGAAAUUCUACCCAGUAGAAAAUAAAGAUAAACUUCUGUAAGGAAUUUCAUUCUUUUCAGAAUUCGCAAUCUGAAAUGUAGAAGCCCAUUCCUUCAUGGUUCUCAUAGAUAUUUAGUGUGACUGAGGGGUCAGUGGACUCAUAGCACUCAGGCCAGGCUUCUCCUGAGUCCCUUUCUUUGGCACAGAGGGAGUGAUUCACAGAUCCUCUACCCCCAAAGGCAUUGUUUCCUCAUCUCAACAAGAAUCCAGCACCCGUCAUUUUAUCAGCACACGUCACUAGCUUCUCAAGUGAGACUACUCUGAAGUGAUCUGUGUUUGAAGAAUGCCUUUCCCUUUCCCUUACGUAACUAAGAGGAUGAAAAAGGACACUCACUCCCUAUAUGAAAGCUGUGUAUUGUAAGCAGUCAUCUUGCCUGGCUGAGAACUCUAGGAUCUUUUUCUCUGCUCUCCUUUAGGCUGACACUCAUAGCCAGACCUUCUGUUUAUUAGCCCCCUGAAUCUAUUUGAAAAUAUUUUUGCUUUCAUUAUAAUAUAAGUCACAUUCUUCUUGCAUCUGCCGCUGCAUUUUCCAAAAGGGUUAUGUCAAGGGAAAUUCAACACUCACUUUUCUCAUUAUUUGCUUACCAGCUUGCUCACUCAUCAAAAUACCAGAGUUAUUUGAUACUUCAGAAGAUUAUUUCCCCCUUUAGAUGAUGUGUCAAGGGAAGGGGAGCUGGCCCCAGUAUCAGGUGACAGAAUUUUCUUCGCAUUUCUACUGUUGACUCAAUAAAUGCCCUUGGGCAAGUCA